rnacentral:rRNA from 1 species
UCGAGAGUUUGAUCCUGGCUCAGAUUGAACGCUGGCGGAAUGCUUUACACAUGCAAGUCGAACGGUAGAGGGGGCAACCCCUUGAGAGUGGCGAACGGGUGAGUAAUAUAUCGGAACGUGCCCAGUCGUGGGGGAUAACGUAGCGAAAGUUACGCUAAUACCGCAUACGAUCUAAGGAUGAAAGCGGGGGAUCGCAAGACCUCGCGCGAUUGGAGCGGCCGAUAUCUGAUUAGCUAGUUGGUGAGGUAAAGGCUCACCAAGGCGACGAUCAGUAGCUGGUUUGAGAGAACGACCAGCCACACUGGAACUGAGACACGGUCCAGACUCCUACGGGAGGCAGCAGUGGGGAAUAUUGGACAAUGGGGCGCAAGCCUGAACCAGCCCAUGCCGCGUGCAGGAAGACGGUCCUAUGGAUUGU